AUUGAACGCUGGCGGCAGGCCUAACACAUGCAAGUCGAGCGGAUGAAGGGAGCUUGCUCCUGGAUUCAGCGGCGGACGGGUGAGUAAUGCCUAGGAAUCUGCCUGGUAGUGGGGGAUAACGUCCGGAAACGGGCGCUAAUACCGCAUACGUCCUGAGGGAGAAAGUGGGGGAUCUUCGGACCUCACGCUAUCAGAUGAGCCUAGGUCGGAUUAGCUAGUUGGUGGGGUAAAGGCCUACCAAGGCGACGAUCCGUAACUGGUCUGAGAGGAUGAUCAGUCACACUGGAACUGAGACACGGUACAGACUCCUACGGGAGGCAGCAGUGGGGAAUAUUGGACAAUGGGCGAAAGACUGAUCCAGCCAUGCCGCGUGUGUGAAGAAGGUCUUCGGAUUGUAAAGCACUUUAAGUUGGGAGGAAGGGCAGUAAGUUAAUACCUUGCUGUUUUGACGUUACCAACAGAAUAAGCACCGGCUAACUUCGUG
rnacentral:rRNA from 1 species